UGCUGAUAGCUUGUAGUGGAAGGUAAACAGAAAUCUUGUUCAACAUGGCAGAGACUCACAGCUUGCAGGACAUGAGGCAACAGGCAGCCAUCGCUGCCAAAGUCUUCAUUCAGAGAGAUUAUACAAAUGGCACUGUGUGCCAAUUCCAAACCAAGUUCCCCUCUGAGCUGGAAUCCCGGAUCGACAAACAGCAGUUUGAGGAGACGGUGCAGACACUGAAUAACUUGUAUGCUGAAGCGGAGAAGCUGGGAAGCCAGUCAUACAUUGAAGGCUGUCUGGCCUGCCUCACAGCGUACAUUGUCUUCCUGUGUAUGGAGACUCACUAUGAGAAGGUUUUGAAGAAUAUUGCAAAGUACAUACAGGAGCAGAAUGACAAGAUCUACGCACCACGAGGCCUCUUGCUCACCGAUCCCAUCGAGAGAGGCCUGCGAGUCAUUGAGGUUACCAUCUUUGAAGAGAGAAGCCUGACUAGAUAAAAGCUGCCACGUGCAGUGAUGACGUGCUGAUACAAACUAAUAAGGCAAGUGUCAGGAAGACGUCCUAAAGUGUGUUAAAUAUGUAAGCAUCAUCAGAUCAUCUUUAUACCAAUAAAAACUGUAUUAGUGUUAAAAUGACUGCCCCAAAAUGUUCUGCUUUCGUUCUCCACAAUCUCUAAUAUAAGGCCUCUCAACCUCAAAGACAUGGACUGAAUUUCAGUCCCAGGGCAUACCUGCUGUGCACCGAUGUCAGCAGUUGUUUGGCUGAGCAGAGCUACAAGGCCCACAGCAGCCCAGAACGAGUACCCACCUCCCUAAGGACCCAGACCUCCACCCUUAAUACUGCGUCUCUACAAUCUAUCCCUUUCCACUUACUAUCCCUGUCCCAUUAAAAGUAGUACCCUUUGUGACCAAGUUCAACUAUCAUUUCACCAUCAUUUGUGACAUCCCUUACCCCAUUUAAUAAAUGAGGGUUGUUAUUUGGCUUGAGAAAAACAAAUUGACUUACACAAUUUAUUGACCUUCUUCGAGCUAUGAGUUACUUAAAUCCUUUAAUUUGGACUAGAAAAAACUGAACUUGUGUAUUGGACACUCCUUUUUAAAUAAUAAUGCCAAUUGACAGGGUAACUUUUUUUUUUUUUUUUUUUUUUUUUUUUUAAAGAACUAUGGAGUUCAUCCACACCCAUGCUUUAAGUGAUUGUCUUAGCUUAACUGAUGAUAUAAUUUAAUCAAAAAACUGAACUUUGGUUAUAAGUGUGACUUGCUGCAUGUGCCUUAUUUCACAGUUUGUUUGCUUUAAUCUUAUUCAUGUAUUCUUGCAAGAGAGUUUGGUAGUGUAUCAUCUUUCCCGCAUGUGUACUUUGUAGCGUUUGACCUUAAUCUUAACUGACAUCAUUGAACAUUGUCAGGAUCGAAACAUUCCAGUCAAACAGAGAAAGAUUCUGACCUUAAUGUACAUCUUUCAUUCUUAAAAGAAAAGCCAAAACCUGUGCUCGCUCUGUAUUAAGCAUGUAAUAUUAGUAAUGCUUCUUCUCAAUUAUUUUUUUUUGUAAACUGUGCUAUGCAUAGUGUUUGGUGACUACUGUUCAUUAUGAAUCGUGUUGAAAAACCGUAAAUUAAUUAUGACAUUGCCUUUGAUCAAAGUAAUGAAAUUGGUCUUGUUAGUUUUACAGAGAUAACAAUUCUUUCCAUUGGAGUUUUCAGCUACUAGGGAAUUUGCUCAUUAUUUGCAUCAUUAACAUGCUGUGUCGAAGUAUGAACUGUUCCACAAAACAGUUGUUUGCAGACAGUAAAGAGACUGGAGUCAAUGGUACAAAUAUGUCCUUGAAUAACUGUGUGAAUGUAUUAUCAUGUAAGUAACUGAGCAAAGCUUGCUAACUUACAGUAAGCAAGCUCAUUAGCUCAGUUAGCUUGCUAACACGCUUGUUAGCCUUAGGAGUUUCAUUUUCCCUGUUCAAUUAUGUUUUCAUUGAUUUAAAUGGUGCAAACUAGUGAUCAAAAUACUAGGGUGGAGUCAACAGAACAGUAGAGGGAAACUCUUCAGCCGGUGGGACUUGCGCCAAAGUGUGCGUAAUCUCAACAGCUACAGCAGUUCCCCAGCUAGACCUGCGAGUAUAGUCACUGGAGCUAGCUUCUAGAACCAAAUACUUCACUGAACAACUUUCCGGAGUGAACAGACCUAAACUGUGAUAUCAUGUCAGUCAGAACUCUUCUUUGCUCACUAAUUGCUAACAAACAUUUUAAGAUUAUGAUAUGUCAUUGAAACCUUAACAAUGGUUUAUAAACUGUAUAGCUGGUAAAUUAUGAAAUAACUGGAUUUACAAGUAUACAUUUCUGUAUGCCAUAGCUAUUACAACAACAAUUAUCUUGAUUUCUAAAUAUGUAAAUACAAUUGAAUUCAUAAUUGUUUGAUUAAGCUUAUACUUUAUUUAUCCCCGGCUCUUCUAGUCCAUGUCGAUGUGUCCUUGGGCAAGGCUGUGCCCUCGGUGUGUGAAUGUGUGUGAAUGCUUGGAUAGAUCCCGAUGGGCAGGUGGCCCCUGCAUGGUAGCCCCUGCUCAUCAGUUAAUGAAUAGGUAAAUGAUGACAUGUAGUCUUAAAGUGGAAAGACUUUGAGUGGAAAGACUAGAAAAACACGUAUAGUCCAUUUAACUGGAGUUCGUUAAAUUUAACUUUUCCAUGUAAUUUUUUUCAGUUGAAAUCAAUUUUAUUAAUCUAAAACUUGUAUGCCAAUAAAUAAAAUGUGUACA